GCUUAUGGCCACCCUGAGCACGCCUAAUCUCAUGAAGCUAAGUAGGGUUGCCCUUGGUUAGUACUUGAAUGGGAGACUGGCUAGCAAUACCAGCUUCUCCAAGCU
ensembl:rRNA 5S_rRNA 5S ribosomal RNA